UUUUUUAGGAAUCUCAUUCCACUAACAUGAUUAAUGUAUAUUGGUUUCUGGCUUUUCUCUGCUAAUAUAUUAACAUCAUAAAUUGCCUGAGGAUUUUAUAGAGUGAUUACAAUUUAAACAUUCUAGUAAUUGAGGAGCUCAGUAAGAUCUUUACAUUUAAACAUUUAGACAAGUAGUAUUCUCAUUUUGGAGAGGUAUUCAGUAAGCUCUUUAAAUCGAAAAUUACAAAAUUUCAAAAAUCUUCACACCAGUUACAAAAGUAAAGAUUGCAAUCACAUUGCAUUUCCACUAAAAUUAAUACUGAGCUUGAAAACCUUCAGUUCGUUAACAUUUAUAGUCCUUUUAUUGUUAAACAGGCAAAAAAGGACAGUUAUCAACUGUACAUUGAAACCAUCUGAAACUUUGAUCCUCAUCUCACAAGCUGUGAAAAAGAAACAAAGAUGUGCCAAAGGCAAGUGAAGGAUAAGAAAAUUACCCACCUCUUCCUGCAAAGGAAGUAAAUCAUCAUAAAAUUAGACAAACCAUUGAACCUUAACUAUGAAAUAAUUAUAAAAGAAACUACAAACUAUUAAACUUUACUAUGAUUUGAAAAUUCCUUUUCUACAUAUAAAAAGUUACAACUUUACUAUGAUUUGAAAAUCAAGCAUGUAGUUCACAGUCCACAAAAAAACAAAAAAUUAAAUAAAUAAAUAAACUAAGAAAUUAGGGCUAAUUCCCAUAUGCAAAAAUUCCCACAUUGAAUAACAAAACGAAACUGAAUUCUAGUUAACUCUUAAUGAAAUUGAAAAUAUUUGUUUAAAAUAUCAAUUAUUUGUUUCUUUUUUUGAUACUAAUAAUAGCAAAACUAUAAUCCAGUCUUAAAAAAACAGAAUAUAACACAUGAGUUACAAACAUCCAUUGCCCUUUCCAAAUUACAUAUCAAUAACCCCCCACCCCUGUUCUCCACUGCCCCAAUCUUGUUUCCUCAAGGCUUCAAUUUUACACACACAUACAAAAUGAAAAGCAAAUUACAGUUCAUUUCACUAAACUCAAUUGGAAAAAUUCAAGGGCGAACUUUCCAAUCAACCAAAAGCUUCAACCAAGAGAAAGCAAAAAUUACACUCUAAUGGCAGAACAAUUAAAAACACUCACCCAAAAAACUAUAUACAAGGUACAUGUAAAUACAGAUAUCAAAUUGGCAAACAAAAGAUGGGGCAUAGAGGGUUUUACCUUAGCAGAUCGGUGAAGAAAAUUGAGAGAUCGGACGAAUUUAGGAGAGUAAAUAGUUAAGCUCACCGAAUCGAAGUCGAGACGCCCAGAUCCGGGCGUUUGUCAACCAAGAGAUCAGAUAAAAUUUUCGAACUAGGGGAGUUUGUCAACAAAAAGAGUAAACGAUAGAGUGAAUCGGAGGAGGGGGUUGGUUUGGCUGAUAACAUGUGACGAGAGAGAAGAAACGAGGGGGAUUGUAUUGAAUUUGGGAGGAGAGUUUAGGAGAAGUCUCAGAGCGUGAAUCUGCUAAGCGAGCGAGGAGAGAGAAAUUAAAAAUAAGGCAUUUAAAUAGUUAUGUUCUUUAACAAAG
rnacentral:lncRNA from 1 species